UACGGGGGGAGCAAGCGUUGUUCGGAAUUACUGGGCGUAAAGCGCACGUAGGCGGCUUUGCAAGUUAGAGGUGAAAGCCCGGGGCUCAACUCCGGAAUUGCCUUUAAAACUGCAUCGCUAGAAUUGUGGAGAGGUAAGUGGAAUUCCGAGUGUAGAGGUGAAAUUCGUAGAUAUUCGGAAGAACACCAGUGGCGAAGGCGACUUACUGGACACAUAUUGACGCUGAGGUGCGAAAGCGUGGGGAGCAAACAGG
rnacentral:rRNA from 1 species